AGUGAACGCUGGCGGUAGGCCUAACACAUGCAAGUCGAACGGCAGCACAGUAAGAGCUUGCUCUUACGGGUGGCGAGUGGCGGACGAGUGAGGAAUACAUCGGAAUCUACUUUUUCGUGGGGGAUAACGUAGGGAAACUUACGCUAAUACCGCAUACGACCUACGGGUGAAAGCAGGGGAUCUUCGGACCUUGCGUGAUUGAAUGAGCCGAUGUCGGAUUAGCUAGUUGGCGGGGUAAAGGCCCACCAAGGCGACGAUCCGUAGCUGGUCUGAGAGGAUGAUCAGCCACACUGGAACUGGGACACGGUCCAGACUCCUACGGGAGGCAGCAGUGGGGAAUAUUGGACAAUGGGCGCAAGCCUGAUCCAGCCAUACCGCGUGGGUGAAGAAGGCCUUCGGGUUGUAAAGCCCUUUUGUUGGGAAAGAAAAGCAGCAGGUUAAUACCCCGCUGUUCUGACGGUACCCAAAGAAUAAGCACCGGCUAACUUCGUG
rnacentral:rRNA from 1 species